UCUUUUGAACUGAAACUAAAGAUAUUUUCGAUGAAAUCCGAGAGCUUGCUGACCCUGCGGUGACAGCAACGCAACUGAAUACUGUUUAAAUUCUCUGUUUACGCUCAUGGACUCACGUUCGUUUCCAUAGCAGCAGAUAAACGUAAACUAGGCAGACUCCAUUCCUAUAUCCAUAUCCAUAUCCAUAAGGGUCACUUGUUUAAUUUUCGACGGACAUUAGUUCCUUUAUCUAUUUGGUUGUUUACUGUCAGUUUUGCGAGGGAGAGCGUGAAGCGAAUGGAUAACCAGAGACGAGAGGUCCAAACCAGCACAACCGUUGGACAUGCGUAUCUGCAACCUUCUCCGUUUUAUUCUAAAACGUGCAAGAAUGCCCCUCUUCCCCCAGUCGUCCACCGUCAGAACAGACUGCCAGCUUCUGCUCACUUCUCUCUCACCUCGCACACUGAGCAUGACAGAAAGCCAAUGAAUGGACCUCUGUACAAUGAAAUCCACUCUAAAGCCCCUGCGCACUGGACCACACACUACCUCAAUGAGCUGGCCCAGAGGCUCAAAGACCGGCCAACAGUGAGAGUGGUCUCUAACCCCAUCAGUGAAAUGCAGGACCACUACAGAAGUCAAUCAGCAGCACGUGAACCUCAGAGUGAACACUUUAGCAUGAUGCAGGCACUGUACAGACAGCUGGAAGCGGCUCAAAUGGCGUUUGUGCAGGAACCGGUCCGUAGCACUACCAAGACCGACUUCAAGCACUUUCACAGGUCAGAUUUGUCUUCUCGCUCUGUCCUGGAUGCAGCUACCUUUAAUGGAACCCUUACCAAGAGCGGAGCUCACAGCCGACUUCCUGCUCACAAAGCUCCAUCCACUUUAUCAUGUCAACCCCGGCUGCCUCGCCCACCUCUGCCUGUGCCCCACAGGGGUAAAAGUAGUCUGUAUAUGGACAGUUUUACUGUACCUGUGCCUCCCCCAAUAUCGCAAGCUGCUGAUGUUGCACAAAGCGGGGUGAAAUGGCAAGAAGAUGCUGGUAGAGGUGUGCUACUGGACAUUUUAGGUGUUCCUAAAAUGUAUAAUACUGAGAAUCAGACAUAUGGGAGAAAUAAGGUGUCUAUGGUAUAAGAAAAUAGACAAACUAGGGUUAGAUGGUUUGAUUUUCAGUUCUGCAAUAAUUGAUCUGAACUUCAAAAAAUGGUUUCAUCAAUAUUGCGUAAUUUCCAUUCUUUUCUUAUGUCACUCAGAGGGUCGGUAAUAAAUGGAGAACAAAAACAUGUUAGAAGUGACUGGUGGAAACAUUAUUGAUUUAUUGAUCUGGAGCGUGUGCCUGUUUGUAUGUAUUCUUUAUUCUUAAAGGGAUAGUUCGCUCAAAAAUGAAAAUUCGAAUGUCUUUCGAAAUGCGUAUGAUGUGUGGAACACAAAAGGAGAUAUUUUGAAGAUCGUUCAGCUUUUUUUGUCUAUACACUGAAAUAAAAAAUUUGGCUUAUGUUCAACAGAAGAAAAAAAAGACAAAGGUUUAGAAUGACAUGAAGGUUACAGGAAGCGUGCUAAAAUCCCAGUGGAAAAUGCUGCAAGUAAAGAGGGAAGACCAGGAAGAGACGGAAAUAAUGCUGAGGAGGCAGUUGGCUGCGCACCUAGACAACCCAAGAGAGACACAAACUGCACCGUCUUGUGAAGAAGGAGACAAAUAUCUGUACGGACUGACUGGAGAUCAGUGUAAAUUACCAGAUUUACACUGGUAAUUUAUAGCCCCUGGAAAUGCACAACGAC